GACGAACGCUGCGGCUGCCUAAUACAUGCAGUAGAACGCUGAAGGAGGAGCUUGCUUCUCUGGAUGAGUUGCGAACGUGAGUAACGCGUAGUAACCUGCCUGUAGCGGGGAUACUAUUGAACGAUAGCUAAUACCGCAUAGAGUAGAUGUUGCAUACAUUUCUUAAAAGGUGCAAUUGCAUCACUACCAGAUGGACUGCGUUGUAUUAGCUAGUUGGUGAGGUAACGGCUCACCAAGGCGACGUACAUAGCCGACCUGAGAGGGUGAUCGCCACACUGGGACUGAGACACGGCCCAGACUCUACGGGAGGCAGCAGUAGGGAAUCUCGGCAAUGGACGGAAGUCUGACCGAGCAACGCCGCUGAGUGAAGAAGGUUCGGAUCGUAAAGCUCUGUUUAAGAGAAGAACGAGUGUGAGAGUGGAAAGUUCACACUGUGACGUAUUUCCAGAAAGGACGC
rnacentral:rRNA from 1 species